AUUGAACGCUGGCGGCAUGCUUUACACAUGCAAGUCGAACGGUAACAGCACUUCGGUGGCUGACGAGUGGCGAACAGGUGAGUAAUACAUCGGAACGUGCCUAGUAGUGUGGGAUAACUACUCGAAAGAGUAGCUAAUACCGCAUGAGAUCUAAGGAUGAAAGCAGGGGACCUUCGGGCCUUGCGCUACUAGAGCGGCUGAUGGCAGAUUAGGUAGUUGGUGGGAUAAAAGCUUACCAAGCCGACGAUCUGUAGCUGGUCUGAGAGGACGACCAGCCACACUGGGACUGAGACACGGCCCAGACUCCUACGGGAGGCAGCAGUGGGGAAUUUUGGACAAUGGGCGCAAGCCUGAUCCAGCAAUGCCGCGUGCAGGAUGAAGGCCUUCGGGUUGUAAACUGCUUUUGUACGGAACGAAAAGCCCUCUUCUAAUACAGGAGGGUCAUGACGGUACCGUAAGAAUAAGCACCGGCUAACUACGUG
rnacentral:rRNA from 1 species